rnacentral:tRNA from 1 species
GGUGGCUCAGUGGUAGAGUGCUUGCCUCACACACAAGAGGCCCUGGGUUUGAUUCCUCAGCACCA